CCUACGGGAGGCUGCAGUGAGGAAUAUUGGUCAAUGGACGAGAGUCUGAACCAACCAAGUAGCGUGAAGGAUGACUGCCCUAUGGGUUGUAAACUUCUUUUAUAUGGGAAUAAAAUGUUCCACGUGUGGGAUUUUGUAUGUACCAUAUGAAUAAGGAUCGGCUAACUCCGUGCCAGCAGCCGCGGUAAUACGGAGGAUCCGAGCGUUAUCCGGAUUUAUUGGGUUUAAAGGGAGCGUAGGUGGAUUGUUAAGUCAGUUGUGAAAGUUUGCGGCUCAACCGUAAAAUUGCAGUUGAAACUGGCAGUCUUGAGUACAGUAGAGGUGGGCGGAAUUCGUGGUGUAGCGGUGAAAUGCUUAGAUAUCACGAAGAACUCCGAUUGCGAAGGCAGUUCACUGGACUGCAACUGACACUGAGGCUCGAAAGUGUGGGUAUCAAACAGGAUUAGAUACCCUAGUAGUC
rnacentral:rRNA from 1 species